rnacentral:rRNA from 1 species
CACGUAGGGCGCAAGCGUUGUCCGGAAUUAUUGGGCGUAAAGAGCUCGUAGGCGGUCUGUUGCGUCCGCUGUGAAAACUCGGGGCUUAACCCCGAGCCUGCAGUGGAUACGGGCAGACUAGAGGUAGGUAGGGGAGAAUGGAAUUCCCGGUGUAGCGGUGAAAUGCGCAGAUAUCGGGAGGAACACCGGUGGCGAAGGCGGUUCUCUGGGCCAUAACUGACGCUGAGAAGCGAAAGCAUGGGGAGCGAACAGG